rnacentral:rRNA from 1 species
AUACGGAGGGUGCAAGCGUUAUUCGGAAUCACUGGGCGUAAAGGACGCGUAGGCGGGUUGGCAAGUCAGAUGUGAAAUCCUACAGCUUAACUGUAGAACUGCAUUUGAAACUGCGAACCUAGAGUAUGGGAGGGGGAGAUGGAAUUAGUGGUGUAGGGGUAAAAUCCGUAGAUAUCACUAGGAAUACCGAAAGCGAAGGCGAUCUCCUGGAGCAUAACUGACGCUAAGGCGUGAAAGCGUGGGGAGCAAACAGGAUUAGAUACCCUUGUAGUCC